rnacentral:misc_RNA from 1 species
UCUCUUUCUUCUCUUGGCUCUCCUCGUCUGUUCCACUUCUUCCAUUUGCUUUCUUCUUUCUUUCUUUCAUUUCAAUUUUGUUUCUUUGUUUUCAUAUUCUAAAGGGAAACUUUUUAUUUUUAUUUUUUCUGUUUCGAUUUUUUAGCUUUAAAACAAUACAGCGUCAGUUUCGGAUUCGAACAAAGCUAUCCAUAUCUUUUUCUUUUCUUUUCUUUUCCUUUAUUUUUCCAUAGUUCUUUAAUUUAAUUCUAUAUUCCAAAAUUUUCAUUUCUCUG